GAUUAUGGCUCAGGAUGAACGCUGGCGGCGUGCCUAACACAUUCAAGUCGAACGAACUGUAGAAAUACAGUGAGUGGCGGACGGGUGAGUAACGCGUAAGCAAUCUGCCUUUGUGUGUGGAAUAACAACCGGAAACAGUUGCUAAUACCGCAUAACGCAUAGGAGUCGCAUGGCUCUUAUGCCAAAGAUUUAUCGCACGAAGAUGAGCUUGCGUCCGAUUAGAUAGUUGGCGGGGUAACGGCCCGCCAAGUCUACGAUCGGUAGCCGGACUGAGAGGUUGAACGGCCACAUUGGAACUGAGAUACGGUCCAGACUCCUACGGGAGGCAGCAGUGGGGAAUAUUGGGCAAUGGACGAAAGUCUGACCCAGCGACGCCGCGUGAGGGAAGAAGGUCUUCGGAUUGUAAACCUUAGUCAACAGGGACGAAGCAAGUGACGGUACCUGUGGAGGAAGCCACGGCUAACUACGUGCCAGCCGCUGC
rnacentral:rRNA from 1 species